UACAACAGGUGUAGUAGACCUUACAGUGAAAUGCUGAAUAGAACAGGUGUAGUAGACCUUACAGUGAAAUUCUGAAUACAACAGGUGUAGUAGACCCUACAGUGAAAUGCUGAAUACAACAGGUGUAGUAGACCUUACAGUGAAAUGCUGAAUACAACAGGUGUAGUAGAACUUACAGUGAAAUGCUGAAUACAACAGGUGUAGUAGACCUUACAGUGAAAUGCUGAAUAGAACAGGUGUAGUAGACCUUACAGUGAAAUUCUGAAUACAACAGGUGUAGUAGACCCUACAGUGAAAUGCUGAAUACAACAGGUGUAGUAGACCUUACAGUGAAAUGCUGAAUACAACAGGUGUAGUAGAACUUACAGUGAAAUGCUGAAUACAACAGGUGUAGUAGACCUUACAGUGAAAAGCUGAAUACAACAGGUGUAGUAGACCUUACAGUGAAAUGCUGAAUACAGAUGUAGUAGACCUUACAGUGAAAUGCUGAAUACAACAGGUGUAGUAGACCUUACAGUGAAAUGCGGAAUACAACAGGUGUAGUAGACCCUACAGUGAAAUGCUGAAUACAACAGUUGUAGUAGACCUCACAG